rnacentral:rRNA from 1 species
GAUCAUGGCUCAGGAUGAACGCUAGCUACAGGCUUAACACAUGCAAGUCGAGGGGCAGCAUCAUCAAAGCUUGCUUUGAUGGAUGGCGACCGGCNCACGGGUGAGUAACACGUAUCCAACCUGCCGACAACACUGGGAUAGCCUUUCGAAAGAAAGAUUAAUACCGGAUGGCAUAGUUUUCCCGCAUGGGAUAAUUAUUAAAGAAUUUCGGUUGUCGAUGGGGAUGCGUUCCA